GCCGGUGUGGUUUAGUAGGCUAUAAUGUGGUGGACGACCGAUCUCGGGCUUAUGGCCUGGGCGGCACCAUCGAGACCCAAGUUCGAUUCUUGGCGCCGGCC